GAUGAACGCUGGCGGCGUGCUUAACACAUGCAAGUCGAACGAAGCACUUUAUUUGAUUUCCUUCGGGAUUGAUUAUUUUGUGACUGAGUGGCGGACGGGUGAGUAACGCGUGGGUAACCUGCCUUGUACAGGGGGAUAACAGUUGGAAGCGGCUGCUAAUACCGCAUAAGCGCACGGCAUCGCAUGAUGCAGUGUGAAAAACUCCGGUGGUAUAAGAUGGACCCGCGUUGGAUUAGCUAGUUGGUGAGGUAACGGCCCACCAAGGCGACGAUCCAUAGCCGACCUGAGAGGGUGACCGGCCACAUUGGGACUGAGACACGGCCCAAACUCCUACGGGAGGCAGCAGUGGGGAAUAUUGCACAAUGGGCGAAAGCCUGAUGCAGCGACGCCGCGUGAGCGAAGAAGUAUUUCGGUAUGUAAAGCUCUAUCAGCAGGGAAGAUAA
rnacentral:rRNA from 1 species